GAGUGCAGCCGGCGCUGCGCGCCCGCCCCAUUGCUCUGUCCCCGGUCCGCGACCGCGACCGCGACCCCGACCCCCACGGGCCGCCUAAGCGGAGACUCUGGAAACGCCUGGGGCGGGUACCGGGUGGUCUCCGCGUCCUUCCCUUUCAACUGUUACGUCGAUGUGGACUUCAGUCACCCGUACAAAGCUGGGCUGGCCAACCCAGGUCCUCGAGAGGGGAGGUUGGGUGUCCCCGGCCGAGUUUGGUAACCAGGCAGCGGGGAGGCUGGCAGGGGAUUCUAGAAGGCGCCUGAGAACUGCGCGCCAACCGCACCGCCCCCUUGAAGGUCGGGGCCCUAUCUCCGGGAAUGGUGACAACGUUCGCUGUACGGACAGCCUGUGCCCCUGAAUGUGAAUGUCCACACUUGCUAUUUGGGGGGUCGCGGCAUCUGUAGGAAGUGAAGACGGGACGGCGAUAGGAACACACGCACAGGCGCAUCACUAGGGUCAGAACUGGGCCAACUCCGGGCGUCUACUUUGAAGCGGGCACGCCCAGGCCACGCCUGCAAACGGCGUCAGCUUCCUCUGAUCAACCGCGGUCAGCGCCAUCCACCGACCACCACUAAGCCUAUCCACCGGGGCAGAAAAGAUGACUGGUUCCUAUUCGUUAAAACUGUUGAUUGUUCCUAAAUACAUGGAUAUAUAGCUUGUACUCAGUGAAAGUUUCCAUCUAUAAGGGCCAACUGAAAUUCAGCAUAAAACAAGAAUAUUUGAAAACCUGCUACAUCAAUGCUCAGUAUUAAGGGUGAAAACGUAAAUUGGACAGUCUUUUUCACAAGAGGUUUAAAUUCAGUAAGGAAAAAAGGCAGAAAGCGUGACUCGUAGAGACAACAGGAACAAUUUUAGCAUGUUGCAAGAAGAGUAAAUGCAGUGAAUAGUCUGGUUUAACAAGAAAAUAACGCUUCUGUAGAAGGGUGUGGUGAGAGGUAAGCAACAAAGGAUGUGAUGAAAGACAUGAAAGGGCCGAGCUGGUUUUGAGCAUGAUUAAAUAGACAAGUAGCCUUGUAAAUAUGAACUUGUGGUGCCAGAAUAAUUGACUAUCCACAUAGGAAAAAUUUUUUACCCGGCGUUACACACAAAAAUAAACUCGAGGUGAAGUGCAUAUGUAAAUACGAAAGCAAAAUAUUAUACUUUGAUAAGAAAAUAUAUAAAUAUAUCUUCCUAACUUAGGCUGUUGGAAGAGUUUCAUAAAACAUUAAAAAUAAAAAUGUUAAUUAAAAAUUGACUAUAUAAGAAAAUUAAAGUUAAAGCACAAACUUGGAAAAUAUAGUUAUAAAAUAUAAAGUAUUUCUAAAAUAUGCGAAGAAAUAAUAAGAAAAAUGACACAAUAGAAAAAUGGAAAAAGAAUGUGAAAAGCAAACCAAACUUUCUGUAGUCAUCAGAAAAAUGCAAGAUAAUAUGUCACAUCCAUUAGACUGUGUAGAAAAACAGCCUGUUUCCUGGCAAGAGUGACACCAUCUUGAAGCAAAACUAUCCUGGGGACUGAUGUUUGACCCACAGCAUACCGAGGUGUUCUGCAGCAAAGGUCUUUAAACAAUGCUCAUAACAUAUAUAACCCCUCAUAAAGAUGCUUAUCUAACGUCCCCAGUGAUCACAAUAGUCUAAGAGCUAACUAGUUGCACUUGUCUUUACCCUAGAGGCUUGCUAAAUAAAGCAUACUUUCUGGAGGGCAAGUGCAGGGGUCGCUUCUGUUUGUCUCUACUAAGUAUUUCUUUCUGAGAAAUUCGAUUGGUCAGCCUCUUUGGUCUCCCAGCUUCCUCCAUCUUUGGAAGCAGGUUUCUGUAAAUUGACAAAAAUGUAAGCCUUUGAUAAUAAGUCAAGGAUGUAGUAAAAUGACAGUUCUCUGCAUUUCUUGUGGAAUUGUAAUUAUUAUAACUAUUUUUGAGAAAAAUUAAGCAAUAUCUGGUAAAGGUGAAGAUCUAAAUG
rnacentral:lncRNA from 1 species